rnacentral:lncRNA from 1 species
GGGGACUUGAACAUUCCAGGCUCUGUGAACUAAGUGACUGAAGCUGAUUGACACAGGUCAAGGGGACUUCAAGGAAGAAAGCCAGCCUUAGACUGACAUCAGAGAACCAAACUCCGGUGUCUAAGCUCAAGAAUAGCACCAGCUGAGCAUGGUGGCCCAGGUCUGCAAAUCAUAGCUGCAAGAGAGGCUAAGACAGGAAGAUAUUAUUGUAAUACAAGUAAUUGGGAAGACACUGGCUCAGAGCCUGUCUCUGGUGACCACUGAAUUGUCCAGCACCUGAGGUCCCUGGAGCCCACGGACUGAGCCCAUCUGGGCUAAAAGAGGUCCCAUACAUCCUUCUCAAAGGCCUAUAUAAAUGCCAAGCAGAGUUAUAGCAGGCCUUGCGUGGAUGAAACAGUCCCAACGAACACUUUAAAAAGACAAAUGUUCCCGACAGCACUGGUUGAAUUCAAAACUCGGCAGAUCCAUGUUCUUAUCCUUAGACAAGAGAGGGGCCAUAACAAGAUGGAAUGACGGAACAGACGUGAGAGAUGAUGUCCACCCAGAGGGUCUGCACUUCUCGGAGCCAGAAGGUGGAGAAGAGUAGGGAUGGAGGAAGUUCGAAGUUUUAGGAGUCUGCUCUUGGGUCCCUAGGCAUGAGGACAAGCUUUUCCUGUACUCAAUGCUCAUCUCUCAGUUGUGCCCACAUUGGUACACAUUACUUGCUUUCAACUGCUGCUGCUGCUGUUUCCUAAUUCAAUAAAGAUAUGG